CGAACGGGUGAGUAACACGUGAAUAACCUACCGAAAAGCAGGGGAUAACCAUUGGAAACAGUGACUAAUACCGGAUAAAACCCAAGUGCACAUGCACUAAGGUUAAAAGCUGCGUUUGCAGCGCUUUAAGAUGGAUUCGCGGUGCAUUAGUUAGUUGGUGAGGUAAAGGCUCACCAAGACGAUGAUGCAUAGCCGAGUUGAGAGACUGACCGGCCACAUUGGGACUGAGACACGGCCCAAACUCCUACGGGAGGCUGCAGUAGGGAAUCUUCCACAAUGGGCGCAAGCCUGAUGGAGCAACGCCGCGUGUGUGAUGAAGGCUUUCGGGUCGUAAAGCACUGUUGUAUGGGAAGAACGGGUUUAAGAGGAAAUGCUUAAACAGUGACGGUACCAUACCAGAAAGGGACGGCUAAAUACGUGCCAGCAGCCGCGGUAAUACGUAUGUCCCGAGCGUUAUCCGGAUUUAUUGGGCGUAAAGCGAGCGCAGACGGUUGCUUAAGUCUGAAGUGAAAGCCCACAGCUCAACUGUGGAAUGGCUUUGGAAACUGGGCAACUUGAGUGCAGUAGAGGUAAGUGGAACUCCAUGUGUAGCGGUGGAAUGCGUAGAUAUAUGGAAGAACACCAGUGGCGAAGGCGGCUUACUGGACUGCAACUGACGUUGAGGCUCGAAA
rnacentral:rRNA from 1 species